CACGCCGUAAACGAUGAUUACUGGUUGUUUGCCGGCAUAGGUAAGUGACUAAGCGAAAGUGUUAAGUAAUCCACCUGGGGAGUACGUUGGCAACAAUGAAACUCAAAGGAAUUGACGGGGGCCCGCACAAGCGGAGGAACAUGUGGUUUAAUUCGAUGAUACGCGAGGAACCUUACCCGGGCUUAAAUGUAGAUUGCAUGAUUCAGAGAUGGAUCUUUCUUUCACGAGACUAUUUACAAGGUGC
rnacentral:rRNA from 1 species